ACAGCUCAGACAGUCCCCUUUGCCCGGAGCCCCGGGGCACAUCCUUGCGAGCCGCUCACCCCGACACGCUGCUGGUGGUGGUCGACACGAGUUGUUGCACACAUCCGGCAUCUUUUUCCCCCUAAAACCUUUAGUUGUCAAAUCAAAGGACAUGCCAAAGGUUCCCCCCGGCAGUCCCAUUUUCCCUGUGGUGACAGUUUCACCCUCCCAUUACAUCCCCAAAAUGCCCCACCUUGGACUCAUUAAGACUCUUAGCCUGUAAACAUCACUCAAAUAAUAAGCAUUAAAGUGCCUGUCUUUAAAAAGAAAAGUAUAUAAAUAACCCCCUUCCCUUCCAUCACAGCCUGCUGACACAGAAAACACUGGAGCCACUUCCUGGAAUUUGGGUCAGUAAAAGUCCCGACAAACAUGCUCUGGGGGUCAGGACAUACUGACGUAUCCAAGGAAAAGGACAUGAGUUUGGUUGUCCUUGAUCCACACACAGCAAUUAUUCCUCCAUUUCCCUCCUCCAACAAGAGAGCAUAGGGAAGAUUUAAACUCCAGAAGGAUGGCUGGAUUCACUGUGGGAUUCAAAAGAAAGACAAAACUUUUCCACAGUACUCACACAUAUAGUUAAUCUCUGCUUAGGUUUUCCUGCCCUUAAAGUUGGAGCGCCAGAACCAAAGUCCUCCCAUUCCAGAAAUUAAGCCCUGCAAGGUUUAAACAUCUACAAACAAAUCCUUAAAUGAGCAAAACACCUUCUCACAGACAAACCUGUCAGUUCUGUACAGGACAGGGUCUGGCCUUAAACAAAACAUUUCUCAGUUCUCUCCUUCACUCUUCCACAAUGCUCCUUCAUCCAGCUACAACUCCAGAUUUAAAGAUUUAUAUUUGUAUUUCUUCCCCAUGUGCACCUAUUUAUAUAAUUUAAAACCUUGCAGGUGUCUUCACUGAGGCUGCCUGACAGUUAAAAGGAAAAAAGAAAAAGUUUCUGUAUUCUUUUAAAAAGCUAUUACUGGAUGGAGGCCCAAAUUUUGUGGGGUUUUUCUGAAAGCAAGUGUCAAAUAAAUCUUUUAAUUCCUUUUCUUCUUACUGCUUUGGAGACAAUUCUAAUUUCUGAACAAUUCUGCAAUGUUUACAUCCCUGCAGUGUCUUCAGUGCUUUUAUAAACAAGGGCAUUGUUUGAGAUUAUUCAUAUGCACUAGAAAAUGACAUUAAUUAAUUCUUUGCUGUGCAAGUUUUAGAAGUAUCAUAGCAAUUUAAACCCUGAUCCUGCAAUAAGGAAAGUCAGUUCUUGGGGAAAUCAGUUUUCCCUCUGUUAUUAAGUUGCCAUCUGCACUAGGCAGGACCUAGUUCUCUGUUUCACUUUUAUUCUUCCACAGCUGAGUCAGACACAAUUCCCUGGAGGAAGCUGAGCAGCUCCUGAGUACCUGAGUCAAGCAUUAAACCAACACUGGAGUCCUCACAAACCCUGCUUACUGUUAAACUCAGCAAGUUUUUAUUGAUGGGUUCGACCAAAACUGCUUAAAACCUGACACUGCCAGGUGCUUGGACACUCAAAUCCUAGCAGGAUUCCCAAAUUUGCUGUUCCUUCACCUGCAGAGCCUCCUCUGGUAGUAGUACUGAAAGGCUACACUGUUAACCCCCAAAUAGCCAGAAAUACAGCUUUCUGGGUGUGGAGGAGGUUGCAUUAGGAAAACAGUGUCACCAGCUGCCACCAAACCCUUGUGAGCUGUGAAGUCAACACGGUUUAUGAAGUUGUAUCUGCCUUUUAGAAUAUUUUUAUCCAACACUGAUAGAUACUGACCUUGUGUACAUGAGCUUCCUUAUCUGUUUUGAAACUAUCAACAGGUCAUAUGGUACUAACCAUCUUAGCAAGCAGAUUUCUCAUCUUACAGAACUAUGGCCUCACUUCUAAGGAAAGGAGAUAUUUUACUAAUCAUAAAGCAACUCAGGCCCUGAAAUCCAGAGUGUGAUACAAAAUAAAUCCUACCAUGAAUGUAAUUCUCAGGUUGCAGUACUGAAAACUUGUUUCUUGUUCUACAGAGCUGCUUAUGAGUACGAUACAAUAUUUGUGUGAGUCUUUCAUAUUGUAAGCAGGGCAAUAAAAAUGUAACUUCAGUGUUGUCCAGCCACAGGUUAGCAGAGGGACUUGGAAAGAGUCUUUAGUCAACAGCGUAUAUCUCUCUGUAACAUCAGAAAUCUGUCUUUAACAGCAUAAUUUUUACAUGCUCCAUCUGAUCAGUUCCCAAAGUUCUGUGGACAGUUUUAGGAGUCAAAAGGCAAAAUUUUACUGAUUUGGAGGAAUAACAUAAAAAGAAGAAGCACAUGCAACCAUUGAUGGUACUGCUGGUGAAGCCUUCACUAAAAAGUCUGCAUUUCCCUACAGCAGUGGCUACAAAACUCUUUGGACUCUUUGGAGGAAGAAUGAGUCCGUAACUUUCACACAGGAGAUACUUCUUGAGCUGGAGUCAGGGCACAGGACUGCCACCCAAGGCUAUCACUGAAAUGGCAGCAGAAUAGAGGCAAAGGAAUGGGAGAUAAGAUGAAGAUGGUCCCCUUUUGAGACAAGCUCAAAGGAACAGAAGGUGAAGACAAAAGAAGAGAGACUUAUAGCAGCAAGAAGAAAGGGAAGAGGCACAUCAGUAAAUCUUGGAUUCUGUGAAUUCUCAUUGUUAACUGGUUUGAACUGCUGUGGAAUAGUAGAAUAUCUCAGGGAUAUUAACUCUGACGUUGCAGGAUAGAAAGUUCUGGUCUUCAUGAAUGGACCCACUAUAAAACAGAGCAGAAGGUUAUCUUAUUUUUGAAACACUCUGGCAUAACAACUUUUACAGCGGUGCCAAAUGCUGGACAACAAUGAGAGUGGCUGAGAAGACAAAUGGAAAGAAGAAAGCAAAGGAGAAGGGUUAACUUUGGCUGCCUCUUUAAGAAACUCUGCCAUUUCCAAGUGACUAUUUUAUAAUUGUCUCUGAGAUAUCAGCAGACACCACGAGUGAUGUAUAUGUAGCAUGUGAGUUGCCUGCUGUAUGUGGAAAACUGCCUAGGGAGGGAUUGGCACAGUGGGAGGGGGAACAUGGCCAGCCUGACUGUAGGCACCAGUGAGGAGUUUAGUCAUCCUGCUGAGUCAACAGGAGACAUGGCACCUCCAAAGGUGCUUUUGCCUACUCGUCAUUCCAUGUUAGACAGCUGAAGUUAUAUGGGAAGAGCCUGUAAUGACAGGCUCACAUGCAAGCUGCUGUUUAUGCAUGGGAUUCAUCUUGCUUGGCUGAUCUGCAUCACCAGCUCCAAACCUCUUCAUCUGGAAUAAAGCUGGUGUCGGACUGGGCAAGGCUUGCUGGGGCUGUUUCUUGGGGCUGUCCUUGCAGCUCUUCUCAAGCAAAUGCAGAAGGUAAGGAAAGGCCAAACAAAGGUCCCAGUAGGAUUCAGGUUCGUUUCAGAGGGGCAGCAGUGUUUGAAUCCUGACAGCUUUACUGAAAGAUAUUUUUUGCUAUCAUUGAGGGUCCCUGCAAGAUGAAGGACCCAGCUGCACAAAUCCCACUGGGAGGAUAGGGCUGCUGACACAAAUGUAAUAUAAUAAAACGCGUUACAGACGUGUACAACUCUUGUCUGAUGAUCUGAGGGACUCCUCUCCCAGUUUGCCCUCAGUACCCCCUGAAGUCAGUGUAACUAUCACCUCCAACAACUCAUGGCAUUGGAUCAUGAUAUUUGUAACAAACUUCUGGUUUAAAGUGCCAGGAUAUAGGAACUAUAUUGUAUGUCUGUUCCACAACAUGCUGAACUCUUGCUUUGUCUGAAUUUUUGCCUUUUUAAAAGUAUUUUUUAAGGUCAUCUUAAUAUCAGAAGAGAAUUUUCAUUUUGUCCAUCUUUCCUCUCUUUAUUGCAGUAUUGGCUGUAAUUAAACUCUAAAUUGCAGGAGCAUCGUUACCUGACAUUUUUCUCUCUUUUCCAAACAAUUCCUGGAACUGAAAGUUAAUAAAAGGAGAUAUACCUUUUCAGUUCUUUGUUCAGCUCCCCUGGCUUGUUUUCAGCAUUUGACAAUGCUUUCCAGGCUCUCAGUUUCACCUCCCUAUUUUCUGGUUCCCUGAGCUUGUGUGGUGCCUUUGAUGCUGCAAAAGGGCAAGAUAAAGCACUGAGGAAAAAAGGUGAAGUACUGUGACAAAAGGACAGGCAUCACCCCAGGGAUUCAUGUACUGAAAGAUCUUUAAAAUUCUUCUCAAAACUGACUAGUUGGGAGUUGACAGUAUCCUUUUAAGGACAGUUUAUGUUCAGAAAUCCCGGUUAGUCUUAUGAGCAAGUUUUGGCUGAGCACAAGUGCUGAUGACUUUUUGAAAUGAAAAACAUUUCU